GACGAACGCUGGCGGCGUGCUUAACACAUGCAAGUCGAACGGAAAGGCCCUGCUUGCAGGGUACUCGAGUGGCGAACGGGUGAGUAACACGUGGGUGAUCUGCCCUGCACUUCGGGAUAAGCCUGGGAAACUGGGUCUAAUACCGUAUAGGAGCCCUUUUUAGUGUGAUGGUUGGAAAGUUUUUUCGGUGUAGGAUGAGCUCGCGGCCUAUCAGCUUGUUGGUGGGGUAAUGGCCUACCAAGGCGGCGACGGGUAGCCGGCCUGAGAGGGUGGACGGCCACAUUGGGACUGAGAUACGGCCCAGACUCCUAAGGGAGGCAGAAGUGGGGAAUAUUGCACAAUGGGCGCAAGCCUGAUGCAGCGACGCCGCGGGGGGGAUGACGGCCUUCGGGUUGUAAACUCCUUUCGCUAGGGAAGAAGCUUUUUGUGACGGUACCUAGAUAAGAAGCACCGGCUAACUACGUG
rnacentral:rRNA from 1 species